rnacentral:sRNA from 1 species
GGAUGCAAAAGUCGUAACACGGUUUCCGUAGGUGAACCUGCGGAAGGAUCAUUCACACAUUCUGCUGCUCGCGGAGCUGGGGUUUUCUUUCGUCUCUGUCGCUUUUUGGGGCUGGAUGGAAGGAAACUUUGGUGCCGACGGGAUUGGCGGCUACUGAACAAUUGUUGACCAAUCUUUGAAUCGAUUGCUAUUCCUCCACGACGUUAUUUUGUAAAGAAGAGAUAUUGAAGAUAUUCAGCCUGUAUUUCAACGUGGAUAUGCAGGAAUGUGGGAUUUUAUGCUUGGGGGGGUGUCGGCAGCGGUUUGGGGCUGCAUGCGUUGUCGGCUGCGGUUCGGGGCUGCAUGCAGGAUCGGCAGCGGUGUGGGGCCGCCUUGCCCGGUCGGCAGCGGUCUGGGCGUGCCUUGCAUGGUCGGCCGCCGUCUGGGGCUGUCUUGAACUGUCGGCAGCGGUCUGGGGCUGCAUGCGUGCAUGCAGCCCCGUGCAUGCGACAUGCUGCAGUGAAACUGGACAUUUCCGACAGUGUUAUCCCUUCAGGCAUAUUUUUCCCGCGAGUUUUUUGUUUUCUAUAUGCAAAAAAACUUUCAGCAAUGGAUGUCUUGGCUCACGCAUCGAUGAAGGACGCAGCUAGAUGCGAUACGCAUUGUGAAUUGCAGAUUUUAGUGAACCAUCAGAUUUCUGAACGCAUAUGGCGCUUCUGGGAUUUUCCCCGUAGCACGUCUGUUUCAGUGUCUCUUGACCCCUUCAAAAAAUACACUGCCAUAAAAGCAUAAAACAAGGCCUUAUGUGUCUAGGGUUUUUUGCUUUUAUGGUGGUAUCGUUUGCAUGUCGCAGCAAAAUACAUUUGCAUGCGUCAUGUGAAGUUCUUUGUGGAUAUACUAUUAUUCACGUAUAAAAGCGGCACAGCUUAAUUCUAUCCUUUCGUUUACGAAAGAGAUACGGUGGUGUGUAACGACUCUUAUGGAGUUGUGUAUGCUACUAUUCUGUUAUCUCGGAUAAAAGUGAACGGAAGGCGGCAGGUUUUUGUAUGCCUGUUGGAGUUGUGUGUGUUUUGCUUUUAUAUAUAUGUGGGUAGUAUUUGUAUAUCGUUUUCCUUCCAUCAAUCGGAAUGAGUGAUGGUCUGGAUAUAUAAUUAAUUUGUUUUAGACCUGAAAUCAGUCGAGAUUACCCGCUGAAUUUAAGCAUAUUAUUAAGCGGAGGA